rnacentral:lncRNA from 1 species
UAAAAUUCAUUUAACCUGCACUUGGUCGCCCCUAUUCUCUGAAUGGUUAUGGCGAUAUCAUCAUUAUCGUUACUUGUACCAACGCUAAACCCUUCUUAUUCCCUUUCUCGCCUGUCAUACCCUAACAUUAUAUCCCGUGUCCACACUAAAGACAAGUAGUCAAUUCAAGCCAUCAGAUUAUAGUGGACCCACAUCAAUCCAACUACUUACAAUGACCGACAGCCUCUCCAUCUCCAUUUCAGGUUUCCUCUUCAACUGGCUUCUGCUUCCGCUGUAUUUGCUCCAUUUCUUGGAUUCGGAGUCCGUAUUUGGUCGGUCGGUCCCGCACAGCUCCCUCUCACUCCAAUUGUCACCCAACAAGACCAAUUGCUUAAUCAAGGCACAGAACAAGAAGAGGAUGAGAAAUUGAAACAAGAAUUUGAGAAUUGGAAAUCGAAAACGUACGCAUUGACCGUGCCUUUGAGGGCAAUUACUUUUCUUGAGAAUUGAAGUUUGGUAAUGUAAUUUGUUCUCCAUCUGUGUUCCCUUUGUAGUCAUUUCAUUUAUUUGUUUGUUUGCUUUUAUUUGCACUUACGAAGUCUCAGGUAUACCUACGCAGGAAUGAUGCAGGAGAAAUUGAUCCUCGAGGUAACAUAUGGGCGGCGCCAUAUCGGUGGGGCACAGUGGUGAUAGCUUACAAGAAAAGUAAAUUUCGAAAGCAUAAUUUGGUUCCGAUUGAGGUAAUAAUUGUCUUUAAGCUCAUUUAGUUUUAUAUCAAACAAAAUCAAGACUGCCUUUCUCUUCAAUAGUUUUGAUGAUAAUAUCUUUAGAAGCAUCUCAUUGACAGGUAAUCGUGGUACCCCUUAAAGAGUCUAUAAACUCAAGGAUAUUAUCUUCUGCAAAUGGUUCAUUAAACUUCUUAGAUGUAGUUAAAUGUACACUGAGAACAACGAGAAGCUAUGCCACUGUAGCAUGUAGUGAUGGCACUUAAUGAGUGAGUUGCUAGGAUAUGAACUAGAAAAAUUAAAUAUUGUCUCCCUCUCCCUGGGUAUGCUAGCUCAUAAGUCAGGGUUAAUAUUAGAGCUUGAGAUACUAUAACCAUGAGAAGCUAUUGACCACCAGUUAAAAUAUCCAUUAAAAUGUCUAGGGAGUUAUGAAGGUGGAGGUAUCUCCCAAUUUCUAAGGCCAUAUAAUAGACAUCAUCCAGGAUCCUAUAGAGUGCAGUUAGCCUCCUGCUUGAUGCUAAUGUCAAACAAUUAAUAAAUUUGGUCAAUGUAACUGAAACUUGCUAAUUGACGUCAGAUUGCGACUUGAGCACCUUAAAAUGGGAUAGACGAUUAGUGGCACUGAAUUCUUCUUGCCUAAGAUUGAGCAAUUGUUUUAACUACUAUCUCCUAUUGUAGGUUGAUUAUUAUGUUUUAAUUAUGUCCAUUUUGACCCAAAAAAUUACACAAUCUUGAUCUGCAUUUUGUCACUGAGCAGUGUCAAUAUCGUCUAACAACUAACUUGAUUUUGAUAUGACAAACACACGGUGUGUCUCUCAUGUCUCACCCAUGUCUCACCAUGAUGGAGAAUUUUUCUAAUGCAUGAAGUAAGCUUUGAUAUGUGGGUUAGCUUGGAGAACAUAUCUCAAAAUGAAGAAGAUGGGGAGUUAAUGGGAAGAAACAGUCCAGUAGUUUAUAAUUCUGUCGACGAGCUGUAUCUCUAACAUGGUCAAAAUUUAUGUGAAUAAGGACAGGGAAUCGUCAUUCCUCUUUUCCUUUUUAUACCGGGAUAUCUCUCAACCUUUAUAUGUUGCCCGCUGGAGAUCUCCUUCUAAUAACUAAAAUAAAAAUUUCAUCCACUCAAAUAAAUGUUGACCAAGCUUUCACAAGAAAAAGUAACGUCUUUAGUGAAGUAAUUUACAGUUCCUUAUCAUCUUCGUGUGAGUCUAUCAGUAUGAUCCAAAAACAUAAUAAAUCUUGUUAGAUCCUGUUUAUUGAUGUUUAAAUGUUGUUCAUUGUGCAAUGUAGAAAUGAUGACGUGAAGUUUCUUUGGUCAUCAAUUAGUGAGAUCUUGUUUGAAGUUGUUUUCUGAAAUGAACUGCAAAAUGGUAGUUUUUUUUUUUUUCUUGGGUGCAUUUGAUGGCUCUUUUCUCCUCAUUUUAAGCAUGUGUCUGCUUGAAAUGGGAAGGAAUAGGCUUCAGAGUUGUUAUAUAUGUUGAUAUGCUCUGGUCAUUACACAAUAUGUUCAAAUUGGAAAUUAGAAUGAGAUAUUUGUUGAUGCUUUUUGAGAGAUCUGCAUUCUAUGCACCAUAACAUGAUUAAUGAAAACGGGUUUAAGGACUGGAAAGAUCUGUGGCAGCCCAAGCUUGCAGGAAGGAUUUCAAUGGUUAAUUCUCCUAGAGAGGUUAUUGGUACAGUUUUGAAGUAUAUGGGAGUAUCAUACAAUUCAAACGACAUUGGGAGGAUUGCUGUUCAGCAGAAUCUGGCAUUACUGGGAAACCAGGUACUCUUAAAGAAACGAUAUCUGGUCAAUGCAUAUUAUUGGGUGACGGCUGAUUUUGUUUGUAAAGUGUGCCUUUUCAUACCUAUGAAUGCAUAUGUUAGUGUUGUGUUCUCCUUUCCAUAAAUAUGAAUGCAUAUGUUGGUGUUCUUUUCUGAGAUGGAUGCAAUAAAGGCUUUUUCUUCUAAAUUUAGUUGAAGAAAUGGCAAGGAAUGUGAGAUUCUAUCUCAUUAAAUUAACAAAAACCCAAAACAGUGAAAACCCAUAUUAUGUGGAUGAAUUGGCGACAUUUGGCUUGUUUCCUGAACGUGAAUUAGCAAGCAAUAGAGACUAAAAAAAUGGAGUGAUAAUAACAAGUCAUUGUCAUUUGAUGAAUGCAUUUUUAAGCAAAAAUAGGUUUGUAACUGAAUAAAUUUGUCUGGCAUGCCAAUAUCAAAAAAUUAAAUUAUGUGGUUAUGAGCUGUAAUGAAGGGGGAUUGUAGGUGCAAUCAGAUCGAUCCAAGAAAGUUCAACAAAGUUCUGGUUUGGUGUAGUGAAAUUGGUUUGUGCAACUUGAGUCUUUCAGAUGAACAAUGACGAGUUUUCAUUUAAAAAUGUUAUAAAUCUGCCAUGCAUAGUAUUCUAGUAGAAUCAUCUAUAAAUUCAAGUUAUUGAAAUUGUCUAUUUGUCCAGUUUGAGUUAAGGACGCAUGUAAUAUGAAAAAUUGUUGUCGAAUAUUGUAGGUUAGCUAAUAUUUGAUCAAUCCUAUAGGGAGGGCUUUAAGAUGUCUAACAACAUGUAGAAUGCCCCUGCUUCCCCCACAAUUUUUAUCUUAUACAAUUUUUAUCUAUAAACAGUAUUUGCCAGACCUUAACCGUUCAGAUUCCCCUUCUCGACUAUCAUACCCUACGCCCCAUCUCCGUGUCUCCGAUAAACAGUGCUCAAUUAAGGCCAUCAGAUUAUCCCGGUCCCGCAUUGAUCAACGGCUCACAAUGGCCGACAACCUCUCUGUCUCCAUUACAAGCUCCCUCUUCAACUCGCUUCUGCUUCCACCUACUCUUUCUCGGAUUCGGAGCCCGUAUAUGCUCAGCUGGUCCCACAAAGCUCCCUCUCACUCCAGCUGUCAACCGACAAGACCAAUUGCCUUAUCAAGACACAGAACAAAAAGAGGAUGAGAAAUUGAAACAAGAAUUUGAGAAUUGGAAAUCGAAAACGUACGCAUUGACUGUACCUUUGAGAGUUGUUUCUCUUCAGAAUUCAGUGCCUCAAUCUUGGGUUAAGGAUUUUAUGCGAAGUCAAGGAAAGUGAUUGAAGUUUCAGAUGAAUUUGUGUGCUAGCAUUGGUGGGAUCUUUAACAAUUUAUCUCUGCCCUUUAACAAAGUCAAGGCUAAUUCAGCUACUUAUAUGGCUGCUGAUUUGGUUAGUGUUGGUGAUUCAUGGCUUAGUUUUGCCAUUAAAGAGAGAUUGAUUGAGCCAACGGCUGGAGCUGAAGACCAAGAUUGGUUCAAAUGCUUAAGUCACAAAUGGAAG